ACUGCGCUUCCGUCGCACAGAGCCUGACGAAGGCUUGGGCUCCCCGCGCGGUGACCGUCGAGGUGACCUGCACCUGGCUCCAUGGCGGAACCGGCCGGCACGGAUUAUUCCCCUCUCGGGAGAGGUCUGCAGCCGGGCCUCAGUGCUUCAGUUCGUGGCCUGGCAUUUUGUGAAGAGUGUCUUCAUCUCUGCAUCCCUAGUGCAACAGAGCAUGACAAAAAUUCAACAAAUAUUUAUUGAAGAGUCUUGAUGUCUUUUGGGAAAGGAACUCUAUGGUUACCUUUACUCUAAGAUUAGAUGGGUGUUACUGAUUCUUACCUCAGAGAAGAGAAUGUCAUGGAGACAAAAUGACCUGCUUAGAGUUCUGCACCCCCCAGCAUGGAGAGCAGAGCGCAAAGAUUUCUUCCGGACUCCCACAUUCCCCUUGGAAUCCAAGAACUGGUCUACUGUCACAACACUUUAGUACCCUCUUGUAAGCCUGUGGACAAAUCCUCUGAUGCCUUGAUACCUCGGUUUUCCCCCACUAUAAAUGGGAAGAUAAAUUCACUAGAAACAGUA
rnacentral:lncRNA from 1 species